AGUGAACGCUGGCGGUAGGCCUAACACAUGCAAGUCGAACGGCAGCACAGUAAGAGCUUGCUCUUACGGGUGGCGAGUGGCGGACGGGUGAGGAAUACAUCGGAAUCUACUUUUUCGUGGGGGAUAACGUAGGGAAACUUACGCUAAUACCGCAUACGACCUACGGGUGAAAGCAGGGGAUCUUCGGACCUUGCGCGAUUGAAUGAGCCGAUGUCGGAUUAGCUAGUUGGCGGGGUAAAGGCCCACCAAGGCGACGAUCCGUAGCUGGUCUGAGAGGAUGAUCAGCCACACUGGAACUGGGACACGGUCCAGACUCCUACGGGAGGCAGCAGUGGGGAAUAUUGGACAAUGGGCGCAAGCCUGAUCCAGCCAUACCGCGUGGGUGAAGAAGGCCUUCGGGUUGUAAAGCCCUUUUGUUGGGAAAGAAAAGCAGCAGGUUAAUACCCCGCUGUUUUGACGGUACCCAAAGAAUAAGCACCGGCUAACUUCGUG
rnacentral:rRNA from 1 species